rnacentral:rRNA from 1 species
CCUACGGGUGGCUGCAGUGGGGAAUCUUGCGCAAUGGACGAAAGUCUGACGCAGCGACGCCGCGUGGGUGAUGAAGGCCUUCGGGUUGUAAAGCCCUGUGGGGAGAGACGAAUAAGUGUUGGCUAAUAUCCAGCGCGAUGACGGUAUCUCCUUAGCAAGCACCGGCUAACUCUGUGCCAGCAGCCGCGGUAAGACAGAGGGUGCAAACGUUGUUCGGAAUUACUGGGCGUAAAGCGUGUGUAGGCGGCUUUGUAAGUCGGAUGUGAAAGCCCCGG